AACCGGUCUGUCGCCGACAUAUUGAUAUGGAGGAGGAAAGUCCGGGCAGCAUAGAGCAUCCCACUUCUUAACGGGAAGCUAUCCGCAAGGGUAGAGUAACGCAGAAGAAAAUAACCGCCGGUCUGAAUCAGUCCGGUAAGGGUGAGAAGGUGAGGUAAGAGCUCACCGGUCGAAUGGUGACAUUUCAAGCCGUGCGUCUUGGGAGCUGUAAGAUCAUGUAAACCGGCGUUACGAGGGUUGCUCGCCCCAACUCGUCGGAGGGUAGAUUGCUAGAGCCUGUUGGUGACAACUGGCGUAGAUAAAUGACAGACACCUUGCAAAAGGUACAGAACCCGGCUUAUAGGUUAUCUGC
rnacentral:RNase_P_RNA from 1 species